rnacentral:lncRNA from 1 species
CUAAUCUUCUUGCUUCAGCAUAUAUCAAAUCCCCAUUAGCAUCUCUCAAACAAAAAGCUGCAGAUUUUUUAGCUAAUGAAGUUUUUUCUUUUGCAGGGACAGAAGAUCUAAAAUACAAUUGUUUCCAAGAGUUACCAUUGCAAGCUAGAAGGUUACUCAACAUCGACAAACAACAAAUCCCACAACUAAGGCUCAACACAUUCAGAAAUAGGGAGCCAGAUUGAUGUUAAUUAUUCAAAUUGUAAAACGGGCAGACAAAUACAUCACAUAAAAAUCAGAAGCAAAGAUUCAAUACAGCAAAACUUCAAACUACAUGUAGCCAUCUUUUUGAUUGAUUUUAUUUGACCGAUGUACAAAUAACAAAUUUACUAAGUGUGGUAUUAGUCUUGUAUUAGGCUCAUUCCAUUGUAAAUUUUUGUUUGAACAAAAGUUAAUUAAAUUCAAUUGAGUUUUGUCUUCAGCUCUAUAGAGAAAAAGUUAGAAAUACCUUUUGAGUCAUCGCAUAGAAAAGCUGAUUAAGUUCAACUUCAUCUUGGAUUUUGAUUUCACAGCGUCUGGUGAGAGCUUUGAGACCGCUAAACUUGGAAUCGAACCAGGAAAUCAACUCAAUCUUGCAUUUAAGGAAUGAUUCAAGUUAGAUCUAGCUAACUAUUGAAGUUUCGACCAGUGACGAAGAGAAGUUCAAGAAGACUACCUUCACGAUUUUCAAAACCGGCGAGCUUGCCUUCGAUUAUCUUCAUUGGUGGCUGUCUUGCUCCGGCGUGGUUGAUCGAGAAGCUGUGUUCUUGACAUUUCCUUUUCUUGCCUUUGUCUUUUCAUUUUCCUGUUCGUCUC